rnacentral:rRNA from 1 species
AUGAAAUCCAAGCUUCCAUUGAAAUCCACUGCAGAGAAUUUGAGGAGGAACGGAAUAAAGAGGAAAAAAUUACCUAAACUUCCCUGCUCGGACAAAUGGAAGCCUCCUCCACCUAAUGUUCUGAAGAUAAAUACUGAUGGUGCGUAUGUUGAAAAUUCUCACAAAGGUGGAUGGGGAUAUGUGCUUAGAAAUGACAAAGGAGAGGUGUUGGCAGCAGGUGCAGGAUCUAUGCAGCAUAUUUCUGAAGCUAUUCAUGCAAAAAGUCUAGCACUCCUCCAGGCAAUCAACAUGGCAAAUGAGCUGGGAUGUAACCGAUUAAUUUUUGAAACCGAUGCUUUUGUACUGAAACAAGCAAUAAUGAGUGAAGCUUACGACAACUCAAGGCAUGGAGCACUGUUUAAAGAAAUCAAAACAUUACUGCAUACAUACUUUGAUGAUGCAAGUGUUAAAUGGUGUAAUCGUUCCUGCAACUCUGUUGCUCAUAAUGUAGCGUCCUUUGGCGCUGGUUUGGAAUUAGGUAGCCAACAACAGCUAGGUGUAUUUCCAAACUUUGUAAAUGUUGCGGUGGCUGGCGAUGUGCCACACUGUAUUAUGUAA